GCUUUGACAUAAUAUAGUAUAAUGUUACUCCACUGCUUAUUUGACUGGGUUGCUUAUGAUGGGCAAGUAAAGUAAGUCACUGGGUUAUAAUUACUGUACCUGGAUACAGUACAAUACAUAUUCAUAAUAGGACAAGGAAAAUAUUGCAACAAGGCAAGAUUAAAAACAUAUUUCUGUUUCAGUCUGUACAUGGAUACUGAAGUGUUGCAAGUGGCCCAUCACUCUGGCCAUCACGGAAGCUUCUCUGACAGUGAUGAGGUCUUUGAGAUGAUUGUGGCAAUUCAACUGACAAGUAUUGCGAUUGAAGUAACUGCUGUACUCUACCUGGUACAGCUCUACCACAAGCAGAGCUAAGAGGAGACCUAGUGCAGAGACGCCCAUCAGUGGAGUCCUCAGCUUCAGACCCAGUACUGCUUCAGACCUGUGUCGCUGAGCAGCAGGGUCCCCAGGGUGGAUCUUAGCCCCAGACCUGGACCCUGCAGGGGUCUGUCGCCCAGCCCAGACCACUGCCCCCUCAUCCUCAGCACCACAAGGGAAUCAGCUGGCUUUCACAGUAAACCCAGUGGCACCAGUCGCUCCACAAUCACAAUCAGUGCAACCAGCACAGGUAACACAGUCUGACCAACAGCAACAGCAGCAGCAGCAGCAACAGCAGCAACAGCAAUAGCAGAUGGCAGGUAGAAUGGGUCUCAUUGGGGAAGUACUUGCCCGGUUUAGGGAGAAGCAUGCUCACAGCCAGUCAGCCCAUCAGCACUGUGGCCUGAAAUCCAGAGCUUCCCUCCUUCAGUCUGCCCUCGCCUGGCCUCCUACCCACCAUGGGGUUCUCUCCUGGGGGUCUCCCCAGCAGACAGGCCAUCUAUCCUGGGUUGGUGGCCAACGUAGGUCUGCCUAUCCCUGGAGCCUUGCAUGAUACCACGGACCCUGCCUUUGGUCUGGACACAGCCACUCCCCCACCACUGGUCUAGCACGGUCACCAAUCAAAUUACCACGCUGACACACACCUGGAGACUGUGUCCACUACCCUGAGUGUUGCCAUGGAGACCAACACGGACAUCAAGCCUUGAGAAAAAUACCCACCACCCCUCAGAUAGAGAUUGUGUUAAGAUACAAAUUGAAGUUGCAUUGAGAGUGUUAAUAUCUGAAAGGUUUUGUGUUAAUGGGUAAUAAUGAAACAUGUAGUCUUCGAGUAGUACUGGCGAGUAGGAGUUGUAUUUAUAUGUGUUGCAUUUGUUCAAUAAUAUUUCAGUGUUUUACUAUGUAUUUAGCAUUAACAGGGUUGCAAGUUAAUUCUUGACCGUGUUGUGAGUUUCGGUGUAUAAAGUCCUACAAGAAAUGCUAAUAAAACCCCAGACCAGCAUUUUGACAACCUCUUCAGUCACCUUCAAUC
rnacentral:lncRNA from 1 species